rnacentral:lncRNA from 1 species
AGGGCCGCACCCGUGGCAUAUGGAAGUUCCCAGGUUAGGGGUCAGAUCAGAGCUGUAGCUGCUGGCCUACGCCAGAGCCACAGCAACGCCAGGUCUGAUCUGUACCAACACCACAGCUCAAGGCAAUGCCAGAUUCUUAACGCACUGAUCAAGGCCAGGGAUCAAACCCACAUUCUCAUGGAUACUAGUUGGGUUCAUUACGUCUAAGCCACGAUAGAAACUCUUUAGUUUGGUUCAUUGUGUAGCAGGUGCUACUGGUACCCCCACUCAACCCCCCAGGCCCAUGUGGAGGUCACCUGCAGACAGUUCCUGAACUGCUCCUUGUGUCUCUCCUGAGACAUUCCCAGCUCUGGAAGUGAGUGUGCGGCAGGCUGGACAUGGAGAAUUAAUACCCCCAGGGUAAUCCUCAAACAAGAAGGGUCCAGAGUGAGUGGAUAAACCCUCUAGCUUUCGGUCCCUCUGAGAGCAGGGCAAUUCCCAGUUUCUAGGCAUGUUCUAGUCUCAGGGACACUCCAGCAGAAUAGAACCUAAGUUGUCCCUGGGGAAAAGCUGCUUAUCCCUGUGUGCUUUGCUGGCUUUCCUCUCUUGCUUGUCUCACUUCUCUACUCCCUCAGCUUGCUUCUGGGAUUACCUCCUAAAUAAACAACUUUAUCCAGAUCUGUCUCAGGGUCAGCUUUUAGGGGAACCCAAAUUGAGACAAUGAACAACAACUCUUGCUAAGUGCUUUUUCAUUUCACCUGUUAAUUUCUGAACAUCCCCUGAAGGAGGUGUCCUUAACCCCAUUUGACAAAUGAAGAACAAAGAGAUGAAUACAAAGGCAAGGAUUCAAACUCACAUCUGUGUAGUUCUAAAACCUGUGUAGCUCCUUAACCACUAUGCUCUGUGGCCUCCCUAAUUGUCUGAUCUUCGCUGGGCCUUAUUUUUUUCACCUAUAAAAUGAGUUUGAAGGGAGGCAAGGUACCCAGUGACUCCUACAGUUAGGCCUGGUCAUUGAGAUGUAAGCAGAAGUUAUUGGGAGAGAAAGUGCUUUAAAGGGACUGAUUCGGGCAUUCCCUUCGUGGCUCAGCGGUUAAUGAACCCGACUAGAAUCCAUGAGGAUGUGGGUUUGAUCCCUGGCCUCGCUCAGUGGGUUAAGGAUCACGCAUUGCUGUGCGCUGUGGUGUAGGUUGCAAAUGCAGCUCCGAUCUGGCAUUGCUGUGGCUGUGGUAUAGGCCAGCGGCUACAACUUUGAUUAGACCCCUAGCCUGGGAACUUCUAUAUGUCACAGGUGCAGCCCUAAAAAGAAAAGAAAAAAGAAAGUCUGACUCAGCUGGGAGACCCAUUCUUUCAGCCUUCCCUCUUCUUUUCCUUUUUCCUGGAAUGAAUGCAUGAAGGCUGGAGCUCCUCACCUUAGGCCAGGAGACAACAAUGAAAGGUUAUAAGACACAGUGGGACACAGGUGAGGUACUCAGGAGGAGGCUGAGAAGAAUAGGACCUAAAAAUCCUGAGUUCAAGGAGUUAAUCACUUAGUGCAAGUGGCUGGAUGUGGACGUAAAGAACCGUAAUAGGUAAAAAGAGAUCAGCACUAGGAGAGCCCUCAGAGGGGGAGAAAUUCCACCUGGGGGGUCAGAGAAGGUGUCACAGAAGUUAUUUCUAAAGGACGGUGAAGAUUUUACAUAAUGCUGAAAGAGGAGGGAGGGAGUGAGAUCCAGUCAAAGGUAAGAGUGUGAACGAAAGUGUGGAGAUGGCAUAGAUGGGCCUGCAUGUGGCUCAGUUCAAGAGGGAAGGGUUUGUGGAGGAGGCAUGGCAGGUGAGGGGUAUGGGGCUUGAAUGCUGAGCUAAGGAGCUAAGGAGCUUGGUUUAUCCUGCAGCCGAGGGGCGAGGGCUCAGAGCAGUAUUGUAAGAUUACUCCAGCCACAGACUAGAAGGCAGGAGACAGACACAGCGAGGAGAGGCAGGGAGAUGGACAAGCAUAUACUCAAAGUGUCCGGAUGAAUCUGAACUAUGAAGGACUAGUCAGAAAGCAAAAGAAAGGGAGGACAGGGGUGGAGAAGAGACGGACAAGAGGCUGAGAGGCAGAGACUGACAGAGCGCGCGCACAAGCUCACAAUUUAAUUAGCUUCCUGGUCUGCCAGUGGAUUACAGGGGAAUUAGCAGAGCUCGGAGUCUAGGGACCUUGCUGGGAGUUGAGGGGAAGCUAAUGAGAAAGACAACAACACACCCCAGGGAGAAAUGAAAGGGGAGGAAUGUUAGCCAAGCAGAGAUGCCUGCAGGAGAAACAGAUGUCAGGGCGCUGAGUCCUUGCCUUCCUUGGAGAAUUCAGCCUUAGCGGCGGGGGGAGACAUUUCCAACUCCUGGGUCGGGCUCCUGGCCCCACUGCCCCUGUUUCCAACCCCUCUGAGAGCCUGGUAAACAACAUGAAAUGGGGGGAAGGUGAGAGAGGCCUCGAGGAUCAAGGUACCCUCCGUUGGCCCUUUUCCCAGAAGGGAGCCCCCAGGUCCCUUGUGCAGAUGGGGCGGUUGAGGCCAAGGAUGCAGAGGUGGCCAGCUCCUGACCAGACGUGGCACGUUGCAUUUCCAAAGACAGCGUGACAGUAUCUCCCAUCCCAUCUGCUCUUCUUACAUUGGGACCAUGCCACUUCCCUCUAAGAGGAGGACUUAGGUUGGGUCAUGAUAGAUGAUACUGCUACUGCUUGGCGCUUUCUCUCUUAAAAGUCACACUUGGGUUCCAGCCAUCAUGAUGUGAGAGAACCCAGGCCAUAUGGAAAGGCCACGUGCAGAUGUUAUGGCCAGCAGCCCCAGUCAGGACCAGUUAUUUAAUUUGUAAGGUCCAGCAUGAAAAGGCAGAUGAAAAGGCAGGGCCUCUUUAAUUUAGAUGGUGACAAAGAGCAUUAACUCAAACACAGAGCCCUUCCAAGUGUGGGACCUUGAGUAGUUGCACAAGCUCAUCCCACGAAGCUGGGCCUGACCCAGCUGAGGUUCCAGUGUCAACUGCUGGCAGUAUGGGUGAGGAAACCACCCAGAUGGCUCUGGGCCCAGACACCGUCCGAUUCCUACUGUACACAGGCCUCUGAACGAGAAUCACCUGGCUGAACCCAGCGCGCCUCCAGCCCCACAAGGGAUAAAAUUGAUUUUGGUUGAUUUAAACCAGAACCUUUUGGGUUACUGCAGCAAUAGAGUUGGAACACUGAACCAGAAUUUGUCAAAACUGGAGUGAAGGGAGUUCCCGUUGUGGCCCAGUGGAAACGAAGCUGACUUAACCUGACUAGUCUCCGUGAGGGUGCAGGUUUGAUCCCUGGCCUUGCUCAGUGGGUUAAGGAUCCUAUUUUGCCCUAAAAAAGCAAACAAACAAAACUCCUCCUAAACCAACAACAACAACUAAAGCUGGAGUGAAAUGCAGUACAGUUAUGGAGUUUCUCCCCAAAACCAGGCUCUUUACCUGAGCUAUUGUUGUAGGUCUUUUUUUUUUUCUUUGCAUUUUUAGGGUCCCACCUGCUGCAUGUGGAAGUUCCCAGGCUAGGGGUCGAAUCAGAGCUGUAGUGGCCGGCCUAUACCACAGCCACAGCAAUGCAGGAUCCAAGCCCCUUCUUUGACCUACACCACAGCUCAGGAAACGCCGGAGUCUUAACCCAUUUAGCAAGGCAAGGGAUUGAACCUGCAUCCUCAUGGAUCCUACGCAGGUUCGCUAACCACUGAGCCACGAUGGGAACUCCAGUAUCUAGCACAUUUUAAAAUGUGUGUGCCAGAGUUCCCUUGUGGUUCAGUGGAAAUGAACCUAACAUCCAUGAGGUCGCAGGUUCGAUCCCUGGCCUCGCUCAGUGGGUUAAAGAUACGGUAUUGCUGUGAGCUGUGAUGUAGGUUGCAAAUGUGGCUCAGAUCUGGUGUUGCUGAGGCGUAGGCUACAGCUCCAAUUCGACCCCUAGCCUGGGAACCUCAAUAGGCCGGGGGGUGCCGCCCUAAAAAAAAAAAGACAGAAAAUGUGCCUGCCCUUCAACUCAGGGAUUCUACCACCUGAAAAGCUGUUCUUCAGAUAUAAGUCCACUUGUUUGAAAUGACAUAUUCUUAAUUGCAGCAUUGUUCGUAACAGCAAAAUACUGGAAACAAUCUACAUGUCCAGCAACAGAGGACCCAUUCAAUAAAUUCUGAUACAUAGAAUACUAUGCAGGCACCCUUUGAAAAAAAAAUGAGGGGUCAUUUUGUAAUUAUGCUACCAUUUCUGUUAAAAAAAAAAAGUAUGCAUUUGCCUUUUUUUUUUUUUUUUUGGGCUGCAACCACGGCAUGUGGAAGUUUCCAGGCCGGGGAUACAGGGAUAGAAACUGAGCCGCAGUUGCAGCCUGCACCACAGCUCCAGCAAUGCAGCCACAAGGGAAGUUUCUGCAUUUGCUUUUAUGUGCACAGAAUACCUCUGAGAGGAUCUUCUAGAAACUGUUAACAGCAGUUGCCUCCUGGGAAGAGAAAUGGUUCUGAUAGAGAGACAUACUUUUCACUGUUUCACCCUUUUGCACUUAAAACUUUAAAAGGCGGGGAGAACGACUAUCUUUCAAAGCAGCUGCUCGGUUCCUGCUGGCUUCUAUUCAACCUGAGUUCGGCUGAAAGCCCUUAGCCUUUUCACAUGCACCACUGUCAAGUCAAACUACUUUCACCCAGUGCUAGUGCAGGUGAUUUUUAAAAAUAUUUAUAAAUGCAGGUCUUUCCACUUCUUUUAAAUCCAUCCUGUUGGUUUCAGCCCACUGUUUCAAGAUACUUAAAAUCUUGCUUCUGACGUCCAAAUAUUAGCUUUUCCUCCCAAUAGGGGUGCCUUCUGCACUGUGAGUGUGGCAGACACGAAAACCACUGAGCUGACCAAACGCAGAGUCCAGAAGCAUUAAUGGUAAGACCUGUCCCCAGAUUUACAUCAACUCAAUCACCAACUUGGGUGGAGGAGUACAUUGGUUAAAUGGGCUAGAAAUCCACCUGAAAGGGCAACCCUGAGGUCACUGUUUCAUUGUGAGCCUGGCCAGGGAGGCAUUCAAUGUCUAACUGGAAGUGACCAAGGAAAUUUUCCUAGUGGACUUUCAAAUAAAUAACAGCAAAUGAGAUUAUUGUUGGUAUUAUUAUUUACUGUAUCUUGUUCUUGGUGGAUGUACCGAUUCUUUUCCUAGGUAUUCUCAAACCCACAGUGUAAUAUAUUCCAAAAUAAAUUUUGGAAUUCACCUGAAACGUACCCACUUAGAAUUUCCAGAAUCUACCUUUUCCUCUUUUCUGAUACUAGGACACUUGCAGCCAUCAGGCACUGAGGCCCCCUUCCCUUCCUCCAUGGCUUUCUCAGUUACACUGGCAAGGGUUCCAGGAUCUUCUCUGCAAAGGUUUUUGAAUACCUUGGGAUUUGCAACUCAUUUAAAAUGGCUGGGUGCUUAGGUGUGCUUAUUAUCUUCCAUUUGGAGUUGCAAUUUCCUUGAAACUAUUUUGCUUGACUCAUUCCAGCUUAGAAAUGCUUUCCUUUGGGGGAGAGUAAAGAAAACCGAGGUUGAGUAUUCUGCUUUCCAGUUGCUAACGUGACACCUUCAACUCCAAGUGGAACUCUAGCCUCUAAUAAUUCCUCUUGCUCUAAAAGUAACAAAUGAUGUCUCUUAUUGUCUGCACUUUUUCCUAGUCUCAACUUCAAGAUGAAUCUCAAGUCCUUACAAGGACUUCCAUCUUCCUUUUUCUUUUUUGCUUUUUAGGGCCACACCUGAGGCAUAUGGAGGUUCCCAGGCUAGGGGUCCAAUCGGAGCUACAGCGGCCAGCCUACACCAGGCCACAGCAACGCCAGAUCCAAGCCGCGUCUGCAACUUAUAUCACAGCUCACAGCAACACCAGAUCCCUAACCCACUGAGUGAGGCCAGGGAUCAAACCCGCAACCUCAUGGGUUCCUAGUCGGAUUCAUUUCUCCGCUGCACCACAACAGGAACUCCCCAUCUUCCUUUUACUUACUUUUUUUUUUCUUUUUAGGGGUGCAUCACGAAUAUGGAAGUUUGCAAGCUUGGGGUUGAAUCGGAGCUGCAGCAGCCAGCCUACAGCACAGCCACAGCAACACCAGACCCGAGCUGAGUAUGCAACCUACACCACACCUCAUGGCAACACUGGAUCCUCAACCCACUGAGUGAGGCCAGGGAUCAAACCCAAGUCCUCAUGGAUACUAAUUGUGUUUGUUACUGCUGAGCGACAGCGGGAACU